rnacentral:lncRNA from 1 species
GCAAAUUGCCACACUUUCCCCCACUCUCCCCAGCUAACACGCUGUAUCCAAUUUCCUCCCCAUAUAUAUAUAUACACCCUCCCUUCCACCUAAACUCAUAAUUCUUCAGACACCCAAAAACAAACACAUUCUCUUCAUUCAAUGGCUCCUUCCACACUUACGGCCCUCGCAGAGGAGAAAAUCCUGCAGGAAAGCUUCGUCCGAGACGAGGAUGAGCGUCCAAAAGUUGCAUACAAUCAAUUCAGCAACGAAAUUCCUGUGAUUUCAUUGGCUGGGAUUGAUGAUGUUGGUGGGAAGAGAGCU